rnacentral:tRNA from 1 species
GCUGAUAUGGCUCCGAAGUUGGUGACGCACCCUUGGUAAGGGUGAGUCCCCAGUUCGACUCUGGGUAUCAGCACCA